UACGAAGGGGGCUAGCGUUGCUCGGAAUCACUGGGCGUAAAGGGUGCGUAGGCGGGUCUUUAAGUCAGGGGUGAAAUCCUGGAGCUCAACUCAAGAACUGCCUUUGAUACUGAGGAUCUUGAGUUCGGGAGAGGUGAGUGGAACUGCGAGUGUAGAGGUGAAAUUCGUAGAUAUUCGCAAGAACACCAGUGGCGAAGGCGGCUCACUGGCCCGAUACUGACGCUGAGGCACGAAAGCGUGGGGAGCAAACAGG
rnacentral:rRNA from 1 species